GGUUGCAAGGUCAAUCUCAUGAUGACAUUGGUCUUCCCCAUUGAUUCUGGGGUUUAUCAGACUGAUCUGGCUGGAUGGGCAAGUGUCUCUUUUCUCCCUCUCUGCUUUACAUGCACACUUAAUAGAAAAGGACAACCUUCCCUGAGAGAAGUGUCCUGUUCUUUUUUUCAAGGGUAAAGGCAA
rnacentral:snRNA from 1 species